CAAGGGGUCAGGGAUCAGGUUUUUCCCCCACCAACAUGUUGCCGAAUGGUUAAUGCAUAAAAAAUUGGUUGGAAAGGGUUUUUGCAGGCCAAGAGACUUGAAGACACUUGACUCUUGAGGAACACCAGACUGAUGAACAAAGAACAUGAGGAACAUAGAACCCUCUUCAUACCUGGGAGCAUAAAAAGCCUGCUAGCGAAUAUUGAUUAUUCUUUAGAAAAAAACAGAAGAUCUGCAAAACCAAUGGUACCCCAUAAAAACAUGCAUUCCUCCUUAAGGUGUCUUCGGAUCCCACCACGGCCCAUGUGGAAUUCGUUCAAAAGGUUUAUUGAAAUCUCAAAAUAACAUUUUUUUUUUCGGAACGCCUGCCCGUCUUUUGCUUCAUUAUUUCGGGAUUAUAUCCAUUUUAAGCAUCUUUUGGAUAUCAUUACUAAAGUCUCAAAAAUCAAAACACAUAUGUCGGGGGGUAAACCCCCAGAAAUUGAAGUUUGAUUAAAAAACAGUGAGAAUAAUCGUCUGGUUCUCUCUCGGAGCUCAGAAUAGUCGAGUUACUACUUUCGCGCGUUUAUCUCUUCUGGCGGCCAUUUUAAGUCAAAUUUAAGCCAUUUGAAACGAAUCCAUGGACUUGAGAAACAUUGUUUACAUUGGAUGACGUCGUAUGCACGUUAACCAUAGUAGCGCUUCGCAGAAAAGCCUUCGGCUUUUCUGCUGCGCGCUUAUAAACCCUCAAAGAAGCCUUGGCAAACCCAUACCAUAGAUAAAAAUCCUCUGGUUGUGACAUUGUCCUCAACCGCUCAAGGGGAGACCUUUCCCAAACACACCAAACCCCUCACCUGCAGUGCCAUCUGUACGAAAGGUGAUGAACUAACUAAGUAUUUACUUGCAGUUGCACAGCUAUCACAAAAGUACAGACAGUACAUCAUAAUACAGUGUACAUAGUUACAUGAAUAUUACAAGAUAAACGACAUAAUCAAUCAAUCCUAGGCCUAUACGCUUCGGAUAACAAAGUUGAUCUCAAAAUUUUUCCUCGAACUUAUUAAUGAACAGUGAUUGUUGCCAAUAAUCAAUCAAUAGUAACAAGGUUGAUCACUAUUAGUAUUAGGCCUAAAUAUGACCUGUCAAAUCACAUUAAUAUAUAAUUUGCCGGGAUAAAUCACAUUAAAAUAUAAUUUGCCGGGAUAAAAUUUGCUAAAUAGUAAAAUCACGACAUGGGUAUUGAUCUUAUUAGAGCCUACAGUGUGAUGCCUAUGUCUGUAGAUUAAACAGUUCCGAGCGGACAAAAACAUAUUUAUUAUAUGAUAUUAGUAUCCACAAUUACGGAUCACAAACGCUUAUCAUUUAUCGUAUAAAUCUAUACUCAAAUAUAUCUAUAGCCCCCAUAUUCCCUGGUCCUCCCCCACUGCUUUUCGGUCAACGGCCAUGAUACCAUCAUCCGACCUAACUAUAACCCCCACCCCACCCUGGCUAUAGACCUCCACGGCGCCUUCCCCCAUAUUAUGAUAUUAGUAUCCAUCAACCACGGAUCACGCACGCUUAUCAUUUAUCGUACAAGUUUAUACUCAAAUACACAGGGAAAGCAUUAAAUAUGCAGGUCGACCGCCGCCUGGAACAACACCGUCGCCAUCUAUUAACACGCGGGUCACGUGAGGGUCUGGGCGGCGAUCAUCAAAGUGGGUCCCACGAGCGACCAAAAGGUUCCCAGUAGCGAUCGCGCUCUCCGAAUGCAUAUGUAUUAUAGCCGUGCGACUCGCGUACUUCAUUCAUGUAUUUGAAUUGGCAAGGAGCCAACCACCGUCUUAUGUUCCGUAAACUUGUGAGAAAUUAUAGUUAUACGUUCAAUCCGUUCAAUUCGAACAAUUAAUGACUUGAUUUAUUGAUUUAUUGUGUGCACACGAUCCGCGAAUAGUUAACUUGCGUCCGCCCUUUUAUUUUGGAACUUUGAUAACUAAUUCGCCUUCUGUGCUGAUUUUCAUUCGUUCAUUUAUUCGGGUUGAAUCUUUUCUCGAUUCUAAAGUAUAUAUCAAUGCAAAUUAUUAUAAACUGUCAUAAAGGGAUGGCAUCCCUAGAAUAAACGGAAACCGCUCCAAGGACACAGAGUGGAUCGAACUCGUACAAGGAGUGAAUGAAUAACAACAGAUUUUUCCCUCGCGUGUGUGAUAAACAUAGUGUAAAGAAACCUUUCGUAAGAAGCCAGAACAGCUUUACAACAAUCUAGGACUGGGAGAUGGAGGCCAUCAUAAACUUCUUUUAGGAUGAGUUGCCGCAGACAGAGAUGAAAACCAUGAUGAAUGUCUGUGAGCCAGAGGCUAUGAUUUGUUUAGUACAACAAUGCAAGGGACUCAACAAAAUUGAGGCGGAAAUGUUCUUGAGGCAGUGUCGGUGCAUGGAAGAAACGGAAACAUUGGAUUAAGGAUUUAUUUCAUAGUGAAUUACACAAUCACAAAUGGAUUACACACGUUCUGGAUUAGACUAGUUCCUGCUGCAACUGACAUUUUUGCAGGUGCCCACUCGUAGGCGAUUCCUUGAUGUCUUCCUUGGAUUUUACAUGAUAUUAUGUCAUUUUCGCCAACAUCUGGUGUUGGCGCCGAGACGUUUGUUCCUAGAACGGUUGAUUUAAAUGCCGAAUGUGGUCAGUUUUAAUUUAUAUCGCAGGUGUCUACCCAAACAAUUUUAGAUGCUUUCUGCUGAAUCUUCUACUACUACUGUUUUUACUGGGGUUUCAUCGAUGUUUUUUGGUGGAGUGUGACUCUAAAGUAAUAGGCAGCUUGUUAUGCCCCCGCCAAUGCGUAAAGCAUUGCGGAGGCAUUAUGUUUUACCGAUGUCCGUCAGGCGUCUGUAAACUUUUCGUUUCCGCUCAUUUUAACGAGAAUGCUAUGAGUAAUAACCAUGUAACUUUUUAUGUGGGUAGAAAAAGAUAACGUGUACAGCGGGCAUUACAGACCAAUAACUCUUUCACGAUGUCAACUAAACCCAGUCAGCAAUGACACCAGCUGCCCGGGGUUGUCUGAAAAACACUUCACUUUCCUAAUACACCAACUCAAUGUGCUCACCGGGGCAUAUGCUACACCCUGCGUUGCUCUUGUUAUUGCAGUAUUUUUGUUCUUCCUCUGGUUCACCUAUAAACUAUUUUCCAAUCUCCAAUCAUGUUUGAUGCUUUAGCCAUUUUGUUUCAGCUCUUAGAUAGUAGAAAAACGUGUUAUUCAUUAUUUCUAGUAGCACAAGUCCUGGCACGAAAUACCUUUCCCGCCAUAAUAUCAGUACCAAGACGUCACAGGGUAGGUCCUUACUCCAGGAAACGCCUUACUAGUGCACUGUUCCACCUGAAAAGGGUCACUGCUUGGAGAGCUAAAUGGGUCAACAUCAGAAAAGCGCGAUAAUUCAGUCUUUGGAAUUUUUCCUUUUUUUGUGCAAUUUGUUGAUGGAAACUACUUAUGUAGAACAGGAGGUGACUGGGCAGCGGACAGCUGGGUAAUAUUGCCCUUAACCUCUUGCCUCCCUAGAGGGGACGAUAUAUCGUCCCUGUAUUUUGUCUCGCGUGGGAGGUACGAUAUAUCAUCCCUAUACUAAUGCUUUAGUAUAGAACUCGCGGUACACGCAAGACGCUAUUGUAUGUUCGUGUCCCUGGUGAUCUGCAGAAGACUAGGUUUAGUUUCAUUCAUAGUUUUCAGAGGGCGCUGCAGUUUGAUUGGCGCUUGUGCAGCGUCACAGUACAAGAACUGAUUAGCAUAUAAGUUAAUAUUAUUUUGUAUUAUUCGAUCAAUCAGUUAUAGACAAUAGUCAAAGGUUAUUAAUCAAGUUACGUUGAUCAUUAACAGGUUGUAUCUGCAUCAAUUACAGUUCCAUAUACUUUGUUCAAAUCAGAAAAAUCAAUCAAUUAGAGCAAAAUCAAUCAAAAAAUAUUGAUUAUUACUGAUUAUUGAUUACCUCUUACCCAAUUGAUACCGAGAAACAACGCCAAUUGAUAGCCAAGGUAAUCAGCUUUACAAAAAUGUAUGGUUUUAUUAAUCAAGGAUGCAUAAUGAAGGAGGUACAAUAUUUAUAAGUAUUUUUACGUUAUUUUGCAUAAAACUGGUAAAAAAUCUCGGUACAUCGCGUUACAUAGGCCUAGGUAGCCAAAGGGUUAAUAAUGCCUAAGGUCCUUUAAUAAUUUUGGUACCAACCCAAGUGCUUGAAGUGGUUGGAAUACCAUAACCUAUGCAGACACGUGAGGGCCAUUUACACGGAACCAGUGAUCUUGACCGAUCUUGACCGAUCCAGAUCAUUCUAGAUUGGUUUGCUGCGUUUAACCUCUUGACUCCCAAAACUUGAAAAUCACGGGAUCCCAGGGUGGUCACGUGGUUGCGAAAUUGGGUCUGACUUUCACGAUGUAUAGCGCCCGCAUACAACUGCCAAAGUCCGGUAACGAGGCACCAUCUACCCAGGCAUGCUCUAACUGACCCUGUUGUACAUGAAACACGCUAAAACCAGCAAUAAAAUAGCGUCCCAGCUCAAGGGAAUAAAAAUAUUACUGAGACCGACCUGUCGGUCGUUGGGAAAAAACAUUAUUUCAAAAUGACUGACUGGUCGGUCACCGGGAUUCAAGAGGUUGACUGCGCACCAUUGGUCAUUCGCAAGUUUUGAAUAUAAAGUUAAAAUAAAAGAUUGAGGUGUGUCGUGUAAUCAAGCCAUGUGCGUAUUCAUUUACGCGACACUCGUUAAUCAUUUUCUGUAAUAAUUUGUUUGAGUAAUCUGGGAAAGUUUUGAAAAAUGGCGUCCAUAAGUACAUUUACAUUCUUCGCUCGUGCCUCAUCUCAACUAGAGCCCUUUGACGAGAGAUAAUGGCUUUUUCUGGCAUUUAUCUGAAAAACUUGACUUUCCUGAGAAACGUGACAAUGCCCAAGUUGUGGGGUAAUAACACAUUUCUUCAAGUCCCAAGAUAACAUUCAUUGAGUUAAGUUGAAAUCAGCGUGACAGUGAACUGAAUGGCUGCAAGAAUUUCCAGCAAGUACUUGUACCGGUAAUAUUUUUGUCUGACAACAACCGUUUUUGGGCCUUUUGAGCUUAUUUGACCUCAUUAUAUAUGAGAGUAGUAGACAGAUCAAGUUGUUUGAAAUGACUGACAUAAUUUUAAAAGCCCUUGUCCUGCAAUUGCCACUGUGAUAAUGUAUCUCAAGUGCCCCAGCCAUGUACAAAUGAUAAUCAUGUUUGGCAAAAUUAAAUGUGUGGUGAAUAUUGAAAGUAUAAUCCCAGUAAAUGAUUUUUAUACAUAUUGAAGUCAUGAAGGCUGUGAGUGUGAAUUUUGUCCUGAUACUUAAAGGCAGAAAGGGAAUUGAAGAUAUUGACAAAAAUGAUAUUUUUUCCUAACGUUAAGUCGGAAUCGUGGGAUUAUUGAUUUCUGCCCAUUUCUAGUAUUGUGAGGAUAUAUUUGGUCAUUUGUUUUGAUGCAAGAAUGAAGUAACCCGGAUCGCAAUUAUUGAAAAAUUUGUGUAGAAACUUCAUUUGUAGUAGAGUGUGUAUAUCUGUUACUUCUAAUGCUUUUAAAGUCUUGAAUAAGGGUUUGGUGUGGGCAAUGAGCAGAGCAGAUAAUAAUAAUGAAAUGA